rnacentral:tRNA from 1 species
UGGAAGUUGUGUGAGUGGUUGAAACAGGUCGCCUGAUAAGCGGCUGAAGGCCAAAAGCCUUUCGCGGGUUCGAAUCCUGCACUUCCCGCCA